rnacentral:snoRNA from 1 species
GCCUCUGAUGAUGAUCAAACAAAUACUUUCGUUCUUCCGAGUUGUCCAUGGGGAAAUUAUAUGGAGACCUGAACUGAAGAGGC